GACAUCCAGAGAAGUUUAGCAGAGAUGCUUUAGUGCCUUCGGGAACUCUGAGACAGGUGCUGCAUGGCUGUCGUCAGCUCGUGUUGUGAAAUGUUGGGUUAAGUCCGCAACGAGCGCAACCCUUAUCCUUUGUUGCCAGCACGUAAUGGUGGGAACUCAAAGGAGACUGCCGGUGAUAAACCGGAGGAAGGUGGGGAUGACGUCAAGUCAUCAUGGCCCUUACGAGUAGGGCUACACACGUGCUACAAUGGCGUAUACAAAGAGAAGCGACCUCGCGAGAGCAAGCGGACCUCAUAAAGUGCGUCGUAGUCCGGAUUGGAGUCUGCAACUCGACUCCAUGAAGUCGGAAUCGCUAGUAAUCGUAAAUCAGAAUGUUACGGUGAAUACGUUCCCGGGCCUUGUACACACCGCCCGUCACACCAUGGGAGUGGGUUGCAAAAGAAGUAGAUAGCUUAACCUUCGGGAGGGCGUUUACCACUUUGUGAUUCAUGACUGGGGUGAAGUCGUAACAAGGUAGGCGUAGUGCU
rnacentral:rRNA from 1 species